rnacentral:misc_RNA from 1 species
AAAUUCUCAGCCCUAUUCAGCUUUGGCUGGAUCUGGAUUGGAUUGUGGGGGUGUUUGCGGGCUUUCACAAGUCAGCUCCCCUGAAAUGCAUUAGCAGGACCUUUGUGGAUCUGGCUCCAGGUGUGAUAAUUAUCUUACAUCAUGGCCGUGAAGCAGUCUGCGUUCGGCUCUCUAAAAACCUGUCUGUCUUCUUGGAGACGACUACUUUUUUAUGACA